UCAAAACUUUUCAGCUAGAGUUUGAUAGAGGAAAGUAGAAUUUCUAGUGUAGAGGUGAAAUUCGUAGAUAUUAGAAAGAAUUCCAAUUGCGAAGGCAGCUUUCUGGAUCAUUACUGACACUGAGGAACGAAAGCAUGGGUAGCGAAGAGGAUUAGAUACCCUCGUAGUCCAUGCCGUAAACGAUGUGUGUUAGACGUUGGAAAUUUAUUUUCAGUGUCGCAGCGAAAGCAAUAAACACACCGCCUGGGGAGUACGACCGCAAGGUUAAAACUCAAAUGAAUUGACGGGGACCCGCACAAGUAGUGGAGCAUGUGGUUUAAUUCGAAGAUACGCGCAGAACCUUACCAACACUUGACAUGUUCGUCGCGACUUUAAGAGAUUAAAGUUUUCGGUUCGGCCGGACGAAACACAGGUGCUGCAUGGCUGUCGUCAGCUCGUGUCGUGAGAUGUUGGGUUAAGUCCCGCAACGAGCGCAACCCUCACUUUUAGUUGCCAUCAUUAAGUUGGGCACUCUGAAAGAACUGCCAGUGAUAAGCUGGAGGAAGGUGGGGAUGACGUCAAGUCCUCAUGGCCCUUACGUGUUGGGCUACACACGUGCUACAAUGGUAUCAACAACAGGAAGCAAGACGGCGACGUUAAGCAAAUCCUCAAAAGAUACCUCAGUUCGGAUUGCACUCUGCAACUCGAGUGCAUGAAGCUGGAAUUACUAGUAAUCGUGGAUCAGCGUGCCACGGUGAAUGCGUUCCCGGGUCUUGUACACACCGCCCGUCACACCAUGGGAGUUGGUUCUACCUUAAGGCAAGGUUUAAAACCCUUGACCACGGUAUAGUCAGCGACUGGGGUGAAGUCGUAACAAGGUAACCGUA
rnacentral:rRNA from 1 species